rnacentral:rRNA from 1 species
GCGCAGCAGUCGAGAAUCCUUUACAAUGUCUUCACGGACGAUAGGGGAAUCCUGAGUGCUCUAGCAUUGCUAGAGCUUUUGCUUACUGAAAAAAGGUAGGCGAAUAAGUGGUGGGUAAGACGGGUGCCAGCCGCCGCGGUAAUACCCGCGCCACAAGUGGUGACCACGUUUAUUGGGUCUAAAGCGUUCGUAGCCGGCCUGAUAAAUUCUCGGUGAAAUCCUGUGUAAAUCAUAGGGCGUGCCGGGAAGACUGUCAAGCUAGGAACCGGGAGAGGCUGAGGGUACUCCAGGAGUAGGGGUUAAAUGCCGUUAUGGUUUAACCCUACGGUUAACGUAAUACCUCGUAAGUUACUUUGGUA